GACGAACGCUGGCGGCGUGCUUAACACAUGCAAGUCGUACGGUAAGGCCCUUUCGGGGGUACACGAGUGGCGAACGGGUGAGUAACACGUGAGUAACCUGCCCACAACUUUGGGAUAACGCUAGGAAACUGGUGCUAAUACUGGAUAUGUGCUCCUGCUGCAUGGUGGGGGUUGGAAAGCUCCGGCGGUUGCGGAUGGACUCGCGGCCUAUCAGCUUGUUGGUGGGGUAGUGGCCUACCAAGGCGGCGACGGGUAGCCGGCCUGAGAGGGUGACCGGCCACAUUGGGACUGAGAUACGGCCCAGACUCCUACGGGAGGCAGCAGUGGGGAAUAUUGCACAAUGGGCGCAAGCCUGAUGCAGCAACGCCGCGGGCGGGAUGACGGCCUUCGGGUUGUAAACCGCUUUCAGCAGGGACGAAGCUUUUUGUGACGGUACCUGCAGAAGAAGCACCGGCUAACUACGUG
rnacentral:rRNA from 1 species